rnacentral:rRNA from 1 species
UACGUAGGGUGCAAGCGUUAAUCGGAAUUACUGGGCGUAAAGCGUGCGCAGGCGGUGAUGUAAGACAGUUGUGAAAUCCCCGGGCUCAACCUGGGAACUGCAUCUGUGACUGCAUCGCUGGAGUGCGGCAGAGGGGGAUGGAAUUCCGCGUGUAGCGGUGAAAUGCGUAGAUAUCUGGAGGAACACCGGUGGCGAAGGCGGCAUCCUGGACCAACACUGACACUGAUGAGCGAAAGCCAGGGGAGCAAACGGG